CGCGUAGGCGGUUUGCUAAGUCGGAUGUGAAAACUCUGGGCUCAACCCAGAGCCUGCAUCCGAAACUGGCAGGCUAGAGUUCUGGAGGGGGUAGCGGAAUUCCUGGUGUAGCGGUGAAAUGCGUUGAGAUCGGAAGGAACGCCCGUGGCGAAAGCGAGGUCCUGGACGUCUUCUGACGCUGAGACGCGAAAGCUAGGGGAGCGAACG
rnacentral:rRNA from 1 species